CCUACGGGUGGCAGCAGUAGGGAAUAUUGCUCAAUGGGGGAAACCCUGAAGCAGCAACGCCGCGUGGAGGAUGAAGGUUUUCGGAUUGUAAACUCCUUUUGUUAGAGAAGAUAAUGACGGUAUCUAACGAAUCAGCACCGGCUAACUCCGUGCCAGAAGCCGCGGUAAUACGGAGGGUGCAAGCGUUACUCGGAAUCACUGGGCGUAAAGAGGGCGUAGGCGGGAUAGCAAGUCAGAUGUGAAAUCCUAGGGCUUAACCAUAGAACUGCAUUUGAAACUGUUAUUCUAGAGUAUGUGAGAGGGAGGUGGAAUUCUUGGUGUAGGGGUAAAAUCCGUAGAGAUCAAGAAGAAUACUCAUGGCGAAGGCGACCUGCUAGAACAUAACUGACGCUGAUGCGCGAAAGCGUGGGGAGCAAACAGGAUUAGAUACCCGUGUAGUC
rnacentral:rRNA from 1 species